UACGUAGGGACCGAGCGUUGUCCGGAUUCAUUGGGCGUAAAGAGCUCGUAGGCGGCUGUUCAAGUCGAACGUGAAAACUCGGAGCUCAACUCCGAGCCUGCGUUCGAUACUGGACGGCUAGAGUCUGGUAGGGGGAUCUGGAAUUCCUGGUGUAGCGGUGGAAUGCGCAGAUAUCAGGAGGAACACCGAUGGCGAAGGCAGUUCUCUGGGCCGUAACUGACGCUGAGGAGCGAAAGCGUGGGGAGCAAACAGG
rnacentral:rRNA from 1 species